AAUCAUUCUUCGUUGAUUAGGGCAAGAAAUUCUCAUUUAUAUUCUUAGAUGGAUAGCUAAUGUUAAUGGCGACAUAAUCUUACUCUGGAAGCAAAGGAUCUGGAAUCGAUUCAACGCUGGAGAUGAAUCUGUAAGUAAACAGACGGUAGAGGAUUCACCUAUGUUCUCGAGCUGUUGCAAUUCUUCCUGCAUCAUUACGAUUUAUCAUUUA